ensembl:lncRNA
GGGCUCUGGGGCCCCUGGGCCAGCUCUGCCCAAGGGUGCACUGAUCCAGGAGAAGCACCCAGGAAAGGACCUGUGUUUAUUCAUCCGAUAAAUUGUGCACAGUGCCAUGGAAACCUCACUGGGUGGCGGGGUGAAAGAACCCAAGAACCAGUAAAAAAAAAAGAAGAAGAAGAAGAAGAAAGAAAGAAACAGCCAGGGACCAAGAGCGGUCCAUGGGGCCAACAGCCUUGGCCAUCCCGGGAAAGCUGACUGAAGCACCAGAAUCUGAGACCCACCGCAGGCUGCGAUGGAGAUUUGAAACUGGCCAACCUUGCUCAAUAGGGAGCAGUUGCCUGGAACACUGUCAAGGAUUCUAAGGCAGUGUCUGGGCUCUUAAGAAGAAGCCAUGAUCCAUUAGCAAUGUCUUUU